rnacentral:lncRNA from 1 species
AAAAAAAGAAGACGUGGUAUGAUUGCCAAUGAGACAACUAUCCACAAAAGACCAAAAUGACACAGACAUUAACAACUAUAGGUCACCGUACGGCCUUCAACAAUGAGCAAAGGCCAUACCGCAUAGUCAGCUAUAAUAGGCCCCGAUAAGACAAUGUAAAACAAUUCAAACGAGAAAACUAACGGCCUUAUUUAUGUAAAAAAAUGAACGAAAAACAAAUAUGUAACCCAUAAACAAACGACAACCACUGAAUUACAGGCUCCUGACUUGGGACAGGCACAUACAUAAAUUAUGUGGCAGGGUUAAACAUGUUAGCGGGAUCCCAACCCUCCCCCUAACUUGGGACAGUGGUAUAACAG